GUGGUUGCCUAAAGGUUAAAGAAGCAAGCUUGUGACCUGUAGGUCGUCGGUUCAAUCCCCAGACCGACA
rnacentral:tRNA from 1 species